GCCUGGCUGGCUUAGUAGGUAGAGCAUGUGACUCUUGAUCUCAAGGUCAUGAGUUCGAGCCCAUACUGGGUG
rnacentral:tRNA from 1 species